AACCCUCCGCAGAAUAAGCGAGACACCCACACCCAGACCUGAACGAGUCGAAUCGUUGCGGCGGCGGCGGCGUAUUCCUCCUCCCCCUCGCCCGCCUCGUCUCUCGCCGCUGACUCGCCAGUGCCACAGGGUCCACUCUCAGUAGUCUUUCCUAUAGACAACCGUGGAAGUCCUGUAGGAAUGAGCGAGCUGAGAAGCCACCUGAACCGGACAAAGCAUAUGAUGACAUUUGCGAAGCCGAUCUCCGACUUCCAUUUGCUGCUCAAGCUCGCUACUUUCUUAGAUGUAAAGGCAGAUGUGCCAUGUGCCUCCCCUAGCUGCAUGUGUAUAAGUAUUUUUCAAUUCUUAUGCGAUUACCAUUCUGAUAGAGUGACAUCUUUCGUUGUCGUGGCGAUGCUCGAACCUUAUCUUGCAGUGACUUGAAUCUUAUUACUUUGGAUUUUGGAAUAAGUCUAUAUCUGGCC